rnacentral:tRNA from 1 species
GCAGUCGUGGCCGACUGGUUAAGGCGAUAGACUAGAAAUCCAUUGGGGUCUCCCCGCACAGGUUCGAAUCCUGUCGACUGCG